rnacentral:rRNA from 1 species
UGCACGUGUUGAAGCGUUACCGUGAGGAGGCGUGGAGUGUGUGCGAGUGAGAAUGCAGGCAUGAGUAACGAAUUGGAAGGUGAGAAUCCUUCCCGCCGGAUGACUAAGGGUUCCUGGGUCAAGUUCGUCUUCCCAGGGUGAGUCGGGACCUAAGGCGAGGCCGACAGGCGUAGUCGAUGGAUAACCAGUUGAUAUUCUGGUACCCGAGUAUAUGCGCCCCUGAUAAAGCACUGAUACUAACCACCGUAAGCUGUUGUGAUUGGCCUUCGGGUUAACAUGGUGGCAAGCCGUGGGGCCUGAUGUGUGGUUCAAGCGAUGGGGUGACACAGUGGGGUAGCCAUGCCGCUUAGUGGAUUGUUGGUGUAAGCGUGUAGGUGAUGGUGUAGGUAAAUCCGCACUUGUUAGCUGAGACGUGAUGCGUAGCCUUAAUUGGUGAAGUUGGUGAUCCCGUGCUGUCGAGAAAAGCCUCUAGCGAUGUAUAUACUCGGCCCGUACCCCAAACCGACACAGGUAGUCAGGUUGAAAAUACUAAGGCGUUCGGGUGAACUGUGGUUAAGGAACUCGGCAAAAUGCCCCCGUAACUUCGGGAGAAGGGGGACCCUAUGGCGUUAACACCCUUGCGGUGGGAAGCGUUGUGGGGUCGCAGAGAAUAGAGGGAAGCGACUGUUUAUCAAAAACACAGGUCCAUGCGAAGACGUUAAGUUGAUGUAUAUGGACUGACGCCUGCCCGGUGCUGGAAGGUUAAGAGGACCGGUUAAUCAAGCUUUGCUUGGUGAAGCUGAGAAUUUAAGCCCCAGUAAACGGCGGUGGUAACUAUAACCAUCCUAAGGUAGCGAAAUUCCUUGUCGGGUAAGUUCCGACCUGCACGAAUGGCGUAACGACUUCCCUGCUGUCUCAACCACAGGCCCGGUGAAAUUGCACUACGAGUAAAGAUGCUCGUUACGCGCGGCAGGACGAAAAGACCCCGGGACCUUCACUAUAGCUUGGUAUUGGUGUUCGGUUCGGUUUGUGUAGGAUAGGUGGGAGACUAUGAAACAUGCACGCCAGUGUGUGUGGAGUCGUUGUUGAAAUACCACUCUGAUCGGAUUGGAUACCUUAACCUUGGCCCAUGAUCUGGGUUGGGGACAGUGCCUGGUGGGUAGUUUAACUGGGGCGGUUGCCUCCCAAAAUGUAACGGAGGCGCCCAAAGGUUCCCUCAGCCUGGUUGGCAAUCAGGUGGUGAGUGUAAGUGCACAAGGGAGCUUGACUGUGAGAGUGACAGCUCGAACAGGGACGAAAGUCGGGACUAGUGAUCCGGCACCUACUUGUGGAUGUGGUGUCGCUCAACGGAUAAAAGGUACCCCGGGGAUAACAGGCUGAUCUUCCCCAAGAGUCCAUAUCGACGGGAUGGUUUGGCACCUCGAUGUCGGCUCGUCGCAUCCUGGGGCUGGAGUAGGUCCCAAGGGUUGGGCUGUUCGCCCAUUAAAGCGGCACGCGAGCUGGGUUCAGAACGUCGUGAGACAGUUCGGUCUCUAUCCGCCGCGCGCGUUGAAACUUGAAGAAGGCUGUCCCUAGUACGAGAGGACCGGGACGGACGUACCUCUAG